GUUACAGGGAGCUGUUGAGGUUGGCUCAAGCUCGCUUGCUUGCUCCACCACCACCUCAUACCUGAUUGCUACACAAGAACACGCCAUAUGAAUAGUAAAGAAAAGCCACUGUAUAGACCCAUGAAAUGGAUUCCUACCUAGAACCACCUGGACUGAGAUGUGUCCUACCUGGU